AUUCAAGAGAAAAAUUGAUGGAUUCCAAGUAAUCAAGCAAUCAAAGGUGGUGAGUCCUCCGAUAAAGGCAAGGAAAUUACAUCCGAGGACCAAUAGUCAGAGUACUUUGAAAAUCCGCACUCUAAACAUUGCUCAGGAUAGUCUAUAGAUAGCUGAUUUCAUCGAGGACCACCAUUGGAUUUGCAUUCUCCAAACUGUAGGUUCACAAAUUUUCUUACUUUCGGUUAUUCGAGAGCCCACUUGUUACUGUAAAUUAAAUUAAAUACUCUGGCUUACUAUAUUACAAUAUAUAUGAAUUUAUUUUGCUU